rnacentral:pre_miRNA from 1 species
AGUGGAAUUGAUGGGUCAUAUAUUAACUCUAAAGUUUAACUUUUGAAGGAACUGCCAAACUAUUUUCCUUAGCGACUGUACCAUUUUAAAUUCCCUUCAGCAAG